GCUGGGUUCGCAUAGCGGCAAUUGCAUGUGGCUGUAGACCACACGGUCGCAAGGCCUACGGGGGUUCGAGUCCCUCACCCAGCACCC
rnacentral:tRNA from 3 species